UUCACCUGUCUUCUUAAUCAGAUCCAUUUGUCGACGCUCUGGACUUUUAAUGUCGUGUAUUUUAACUUUUGACGGCGGGAAGCGAAGCUUAACGCGUUUUACACCAUCAGGGAAGUAAAAGUGGAUUUAACAAAGACGUUUUCAGAAAGUUACGGGACUUAACGCCGGAUAAUUGCUGUGACCAGCCUGAGGUGUUGGGGUUGAACUUCUUGCCCUGCCGCAGACAUGAGUGUGGACUCUCUCUGCACUGACACAGGCAAGUGUCGGGGUUGAGGGGCUGAUUUCCAGGACAAUCUGCCGCACAUACGCAGCCACACAGGUCUUCCUCCCACCGCUGGCCAGCAGGGCACCACUUCCCGUCACCUUGACCUUCACACUGGCAUUCACCUGAGAGAUUAACAUGAAGACAAAAACAAACAUGAAGCACCUGAAAUAGAUGUGCCACUCCUGACCUGCAGCCAGACAACAGCUAUUCAAAUCACCAUGUCACCCUCCACCCCUUGAAGUCAGCCUGAGUGUUUGCCUCAGAUUUCUAUGCUGCCUUGCGACCUGAGCCCAGUUGUCCUCUCUCCAGUGUCCUCAUUAAAGCCCACCCAGAUAAGUAGGCCAUCCUGGCCAUGUCCUGUCAACUCCUUGUUUCUAGUAGGUGUCAGGAUCUGCCCAUCUGAGGGACUCUGAAUGUAGUUACUUUAAGAGGUUCUCUGCCUGUGACACCAGCCUCCAGCUCAGUCUCCUGAGAAGUCUUAACUUUUGCCCCCUACUAGUCCAUCUUUGUGGAUCCCUAGGGCAUGCACCAAGCUCCCUAGAGGACCCGUCCAUGCUGUUGCCCUAGAUUUCCUCCAGACAUGCUUUGCCUGCAACGUUGGGCUCCUGCUCUCUGCCAAACGUUGCUGACACGUCUGCUAAUCAAAGUCAACAUGCAGCUGUAUUUUCGGGUGCCAGAUCGCCCUUUUGAAGAGAAUUCUCUAACCCAUCACCCUGCAUUUCAUAUAAACAUUGUCUUCCUGUGAUGCCACCCUCCAGCUUUGUCUCCUGAGAAGUCUCACUGGCAUCCCCACCAGAUUCUCUUGUCUCCCUCCACCAGUGACAGCUGUUCCCACCCGGCCUGGCCAUCAGCUAUUGUUUUGACAAUGCGUGAAAUCCAGUGUGCCUAUAUUUCUGACCACUCCAACCUGCUGUUGAAUACUUUGAUGCCUCCAUUUUUCAGUCCAUCAAAGAGAACUUGCUGAUGUAAUCACCCACAAUGUAUUCCUUCAAAGGGUCUCUUCCUGUGACUAAAGUCUGCUGAUCCGUUGCUGUCCUCCUGCUUGACCUCAUUAAGUUAUGGCCCCAGUGGCACAGUUCACCCAGAGGGUUCUGCCUGAGAUGCUUUUGCUGUUUUUUCAACUGUUUCCUCUGACAUACCCACAAGAGAGCCUCUGCCUGUCACCCUAUGCAUGUCUCCUGAGAAGCCUCACUAGGUUCUCAGGAAACAGCUGUUCCAAACCCUUUCUCGAUUCCGCUGAUACACAGCCUGCAAUCCAGUGUUCCGCCUGUAUUGAAGCCUGGACUGACCUGCUGUUGAGUACUCUGAUGCCUGCCCUUUGACACACCACUAGGAUCCAGAGACAACUCACCCAUGUCGUCGCCCGCCAUUUAAUCCUCCAGAGGUACCCUGACUGACCUCAGCUUCCUACAGUCUCUGAAAGGACUGAGCUUCUGUUUGACUCCUACUUUGAUCUGUAGUUACAUCUUCUGUGGCCAGCCUGCUCUCCAGACCAUGUCAGCAGCCUCCAGAGAAAACUAGCAAGUCUACAUUUCUUCCGCACGAUAUUCCCAAUCUGCAACGCUGUCGUCUCCUGCUUGGUCUCCUGAUGUGGUACCACCUAGGCCCCCAAUUUGCCAGAAAACUCGCCCCUGCCAUCACCUUACAGUUCAUCCUCCAGAGAGGAGUUACAGUUCAUCCUCCAGAGAGGAUGAACUGUAUGAGGAUGAACAUCCACUGCUGCGACCGUCCUUCGAUCCAGUCAUCUGCUUCCACUGCUACAUGUAUU